rnacentral:rRNA from 1 species
GAUGAACGCUAGCGGCAGGCUUAAUACAUGCAAGUCGUGGGGCAGCAUGAAUGUAGCAAUACAUUUGAUGGCGACCGGCAAACGGGUGCGGAACACGUACACAACCUUCCUAUAAGUGGGGAAUAGCCCAGAGAAAUUUGGAUUAAUACCCCGUAACAUAAUGAUGUGGCAUCACAUUAUUAUUAUAGCUUCGGCGCUUAUUGACGGGUGUGCGGCUGAUUAGAUAGUUGGCGGGGUAACGGCCCACCAAGUCUACGAUCAGUAGCUGAUGUGAGAGCAUGAUCAGCCACACGGGCACUGAGACACGGGCCCGACUCCUACGGGAGGCAGCAGUAAGGAAUAUUGGUCAAUGGACGCAAGUCUGAACCAGCCAUGCCGCGUGAAGGAUUAAGGUCCUCUGGAUUGUAAACUGCUUUUAUACAGGAAGAAACGACUCUUGCGAGAGGCAUUGACGGUACUGUAUGAAUAAGCACCGGCUAACUCCGUGCCAGCCGCCGCCGUAAUAC